rnacentral:lncRNA from 1 species
UACGAACUAGCUUAAUCAUUUUCUAAAAAAAUAAAAACAAAUAAAUAUACUUUUCCUUUUAUCUUUUGCCUUAUCUCUGCUAUUCUUUCUUCUUAUCUAAUCCUUGAUCUCUGGUCUAUCAUGAAUUCAAACAUGUCUGUCUAUGAAUUUCAUAGACCUACGGGCACACAUCUUGAUCCAGCAAAAUCUUCAAAGCCUAUCAUAGCAUCUAGUUUUGAGAUAGACCCC